rnacentral:rRNA from 1 species
AUUGAACGCUGGCGGCAGGCCUAACACAUGCAAGUCGAGCGGAUGAAGGGAGCUUGCUCCUGGAUUCAGCGGCGGACGGGUGAGUAAUGCCUAGGAAUCUGCCUGGUAGUGGGGGAUAACGUCCGGAAACGGGCGCUAAUACCGCAUACGUCCUGAGGGAGAAAGAGGGGGAUCUUCGGACCUCACGCUAUCAGAUGAGCCUAGGUCGAAUUGGCUAGUUGGUGGGGUAAAGGCCUACCAAGGCGACGAUCCGUAACUGGUCUGAGAGGAUGAUCAGUCACACUGGAACUGAGACACGGUCCAGACUCCUACGAGAGGCAGCAGUGGAGAAUAUUGGACAAUGGGCGAAAGCCUGAUCCAGCCAUGCCGCGUGUAUGAAGAAGGUCUUCGGAUUGUAAAGCACUUUAAGUUGGGAGGAAGGGCAGUAAGUUAAUACCUUGCUGUUUUGACGUUACCAACAGAAUAAGCACCGGCUAACUUCGUG